rnacentral:rRNA from 1 species
AACGCGAAGAACCUUACCUGGGCUUGAACCGCACAGGACCAGCUUCAGAAAUGAGGCCUUCCCGCAAGGGACCGGUGACAGGUGCUGCAUGGCUGUCGUCAGCUCGUGUCGUGAGAUGUUGGGUUAAGUCCCGCAACGAGCGCAACCCUCGCCUCUAGUUGCCAGCAUUAAGUUGGGCACUCUAGAGGGACUGCCGGUGAUAAGCCGCGAGGAAGGUGGGGAUGACGUCAAGUCCUCAUGGCCCUUACGGGCUGGGCUACACACGUGCUACAAUGGCGGUGACAGUGGGACGCGGAGGGGUGACCCCGAGCAAAUCUCAAAAAGCCGUCUCAGUUCAGAUUGCACUCUGCAACUCGAGUGCAUGAAGGUGGAAUCGCUAGUAAUCGUAGAUCAGCAUGCUACGGUGAAUACGUUCCGGGCCUUGUACAACCGCUACAGU